rnacentral:lncRNA from 1 species
AGUUAAAGCGUCUCUAGAAAUAAGCUUGCUAACUGAAUAGAAAAUAUCAACAAUCUUAUGCAUGACCUUACAAUAUGGAAUGGAGAUUUAAAUUGACUUGCUGGAGAUGUAUGUUUCUUUCCCCUUUACUUUUAAAUAAUGACUUCUCUUGUUAAGUCUGUAACAUGGUCUUUAGUGCACUGCGUACAUCCUUUUGAUAUGGUAGAAAAGUUACAUGAUGAUAUUUUAAUACUAUUUGAAAUAAGUGUAAGGUAGUUGUUUUCAUGUACCACCACCAGCUCUCAUCCUACGUUCUUCAGGACCAUCACCAUGCCACAAAUUUACAAUCAUUACUUAUCAUUAGGAGACAAACGCUAAACAGAAGUAAUUCAUUCUAGAUUUCAGUAGGAUUUAGAGGACUGAAGAUUCUUUUUUCUUCCUUUUUUUUCUUUUGAUAACUAAAUAGAGCAUUAGAGAAUCGCACAAGAAGCAGUAUAGUAACUCAAGAAGAAUUGACAGGAAAUUAGAUAUUAUAGUACCUUCAUAUAAGUAUCUAUAUCUGGAUCUGGAAUGAUUCCCGCCUCUUUCUCCCUUCUGAUGACCUCAGUCAUUGUCUCUAACAAAGGGGAAGAAAAAUUACUUUAAAGUACUAUGAUAUACUGACAAGAAAUUCAGACUAAAAUUGAGAUGUUGUGUGACCAAUGCAGGAAUACCUGCUCGACUUCCAAUACCCUGACAGCGCGCUGAAAAAUCAAGUGUUUCCCUAACAGUCAUCUCAGGGAUAUGUAGAUCAUAUUGGUUUGUAUAAGCAGAGGUUUUCUGGGGCACAAACUCUUCAAGUUUGUACCCAUUGUAAGAGAUUUCCCCGGUAAUCUGUCGAGAGAAAGGCAUACAGGCAAAGUUAUGAAAAGGAUAUGGAUUUUAAUACAAUAGCUCUGGAUUAUAAUCAAUGUAGAACUCAAAAUCUCAUUUAGAGGUGUAUUAUGCACUUAAGUUCAAACUUUGGCACACUGAAUGUGGGUGCUUAAAAUCUCAGUUUUUCCUUUUCCAAAGGUUUCAGCAGAACAACUGAUCACAAGUAUAUGGAGGUAAUAGUGAAUGCAGUAGCAUAGAAUGAGAAGAACUUUGGAAUAUAUGUGAAUUGUGAAAAAGCAACAUUUAGUAACUACUAUUAGAAAUUAAAUAUCAUUAACCUGUUACUAGAGAGAGAUCAAAUUAUCCAAGAGAAAAGUUCCAAACCAUGAUUAAGUGAAACCUAAAUUCAGAUUAAGUAAAUCACUUGAAUACAGUAUAUAGUGUGGAGCUAGGAAGUCUAUUCAAGGCGUGUAGAACACCUGCACUAUAUGUGAAUGAAGAAAUAGUGACACAAUAGAAUCCAGAAAGCUUUCAUAUUCAUUACAAGAUUAGAACAAGUACCCUUUUGGAUUAUUCUUUCUUUAUUGAUAGCUAUUCGAUUCACAAUACUUUUUUCUAUUAGAUUUUACAAUGUGCUAUACUAGAUGAAUGAAUAACAAAGUGAGGUACCUUUAGAGAUUUGUCUAGGUUUCCAGAAAGUGCUUUCAAGAAAGAGGUCUUCCCACAUCCUGGAGGACCAAGCAGUAAAGUCAUUCUGCAUAAAAAUAGAAAUAAAAAUAAAUAAAAGAGGUAAGCAAUUCGAUUACCUGAAUUAUCCUAGCUAACCUUGAUGAAAAGGUUUUUUUUAAUUAUAUAAAAACUAUUUUGCAUCCCGUUUAAGCAUGUCAUUUUACCACUGCAAUGAUCUACUUGAGAAAAAUGAUGGACAAUAAUGUUAGUGUUAAAAUUGCAUAACUCCUAGUUACCUGAUGACACAAUUUAAUAGGAUUCCAACCUUGAAAUCUCGAACAAUAUGUGAAGUAUUAUAUUGAAAAAGUUCAAUCAACAAACUUUCCAUAAUUCUAUUUCUAUGAGGUACAUUAAACCUAGUGUUCCAACUAAUAACUCAAACAAUUGUUCUUUAUUUUCACUUAAUAAAUGGCAAGGAUGAACUAAAUAAUCGUACAAUUCCGAUGUAUCCUAUGAUAACUAAAGCAAUUUUUUAAUUUACGAUGGCCUAUUAUAAAAGCUUAAAUAGAUUCAAUCACCAGAAAAGUUUGGAAUCUCCGGACUGUACAAUAUUAACAUACCUAUUGACUUUAAAGAUAAAAUAUUAAUGGUCAUAAGAGACAGAUAUGUUCCUGCUAUAAGACGCUAAAUAGCCAAGAAACAAUUUAUCCAUAAUUGGCAUAAGGAUGUUGAGGCUUCAAGUGAGUAGCAAGACAAGAAAUGACAGAACCAGAAAUAAAUCUAUUCUUGUUUUAGAUAGAAAAGAGAAGUGAAUACAUUCUUGACUCUUGAGAAGUUGGAUAAAUACUAACAAUCCACAAGAUAAUAAAAGUACUAUAUGAUUUGGUUAAAAACAAAGAUUAAUGAGUUGAUUCUUGCACUUCUACAAUAUUACCAAAAGGGACUGUAGAAGGCAGUAGAAACAGACAGUCGGCACAAAAAUACAAAUAAGUAGUUCCUGCAUAAUGCAUGCUAACAAUUUGAAAUAUUUCUUUCAGAUAAUAUAUGAAUAAGUAUUAUGUGGUAAAUAAAAAAAAAGGCAGUCUCAAAUAGUUGAAGUAAAGCUUUGCUAGUUCCGGAAAGUUAGAAGGAAUUGUUAUUGGCAUAAAUCUCUGUUGAGUUAAAUUGCAUAAAAUUAACAUUGAUGAUGUUCUGUUGCUAUCUUCCAGGCUUAAUGAUACUAACAAUUUGAAAUAUUUCUUUCAGAUAAUAUAUGAAAAAGGAGUAUAUGGUAAAUAAAAAAAAAGGCAGUUUCAAAUAGUUGAAGUAAAUAUUUGCUAGUUCCGGAAAGUUAGAAGGAAUUGUUAUUGGCAUAAAUCUCUGUUGAGUUAAAUUGCGUAAAAUUAACAUUGAUGAAGUUCUGUUGCUACCUUCCAGGCUUAAUGAUACCACUGACAUUAUUAAUGAUGUUUAUCUUGGCCUCUUUUGACUUGAAUCCAGUAAGCUUGGUAAUGUCCUGUUAAAGAAUUUCACAAGUAAAUUUAAAAGUCUAUCUAAUUAAUCUUGACAGUCCAAAUUACACAUUAAAUACUUUGAAUUAAUGGUAAACCUAUAAAUUUACUUCAAGAAAAAGUAAGUUACUUACAGAAAUCAUGCUUUGGAGAGAAUUCCAUAGAGUAGGGAGGGGCUUGCCAUGAACUACCUCACACUCUGCUUGCACGUGCAUAUUUUUAUAUCUCACCUCAACAGUGGGUAACUUUACACCAACUCUACAAGAAUCAUUUGAAACUUUAACCCAAUUAAUCACUCAUUCAUGCUUAAAAAGUUAAACUGAUAAAGAACUAAUAUGCACAGAGAAUGAAGAGGAAGAAGGAAAAAUCAGCAGAGGGUCAAAUACAUCAGCAGAAAAACUAAGACUAUUAAAUAUAUCCAUAAUUGUGUGUUUGAGCAGUGCUGUGCACCAAAUGUUCAGCAUAUCCAUAUUGGUAUUAUGUACCAUUUUUGCUUUCUUAAUUUUUGCUAUCUACAUUUAUGUAUAUUUAGAGAGAAAAAAAAUUGCUUACUUGUCUAUUCGUUUUCUAAGUUUGUGCAACAAACGAAGGUUGUCGUUCUCAAUGUGCUUGAUGAGCUUCUCAAUGAACAAAUGCCUUUCUAAAGAACCAAGCUUAGUAACAUCAAUUAAUCGCUUCCCUUUAGCAUCAACUCUAUCUCCUUCAUCUUCAUCAUCAUCAUCAUCAAUUAGUGAUGACCUCAAACGUUCAAAAGUAGGCAAUCUAUUAAUUUCAGCCCAUUGUUUCACAAAUUCAACAUCAGCAUUAUCCUUCAAAGAACUUAAAUUUGAAUUGCUUCGGAAACUGGAGGUAUGAUGCCGGAAAGAUGAUCUCAAACUUCUUCCUACCUCUGAGAGCUCUGUUCUCAGUGACUGUAUUUCAUCUGCACCAACUAACUGAGCCAUAUUGAACAACCUUGCAGAGCUUCAAACCGGCACUGGUAGGAAGAGAGACAUAAAAGUUAUAUACAUGUGUGCAUAUAUAUAUAUAACAUAUAUAUAUAUAUAUAAUAUGUAUAUAACAAAGUCUUCUCCGUGAUUAAGACAACAAAAUAUGAUUAGGUAAGGGAAUGCAUCAUCUUACAUUUUUUGUAUAUUAAAGUUAAAAAUGAAAGCAGGAAUACACCGUGCUCUAGGACAUCAAACCUCUAUCUGAGUAAGUGAUUGUGUACGAGAGAAACAAAGAGAGAUACAUGUUUUAUCUAUCAGCUAACAAUUAAUUAAAGCCUCUUCCCAAACGUGGGAGGGGGAAAAUAGAAAAGGGUGUAAUUAAGAAUCUUACUAGCUAAAGUUACAAAGACAGACUAGUUGACUUCUAUUUAUAUAAAGUAACAAUGACUUUCCUGUGAAGAAAUUGUCUUCCUUUUUCUCCCAUCAUCAGCAUUGAAAAUUUAAUCCAAAAUGAAUUAUUUAGGGCCUAAAUCACAGCUUAAGAUCUACCAUUAGUCUGCUGCACAAUCUAGCACUGUUAACAAUUAACUUGAUCUUCAAGUAUAAAAUAUUAUAAGCUUAUUUUUGUUUUUGUUUUCUUUUUUCUAUUAUAUCUAAUGGGAAUUGAGGGCUACCAAAUAGAAGAAUUUUAUUUUACUAGAACAUCCCUGGUUAAAUAUUAGAAAGCAUAUAUGAUGUAUUCCAUAUUUUUUUUAAAUCUUACAAACAACCCUAAUUUUUUCAAAUGGAUAACUAAUUUAGGCACAAGAAGUAAGUAAUCCCAUAAAAGUAUUAUAGAUUUGGAGUUACAAAGUUAGUUAAGGCGAUAACCUUGUCAUAUAUCAAUUUUAACAGAAAUAUUUGUAGCACGUAACAUAUCAGGAUUGGGAUACAUUAUUAUCUUCUCUCUAUUCUUUAAAUAUAAAACUAUUAUCAUUAUACUCCAGAUCAUAACAGGUACCAUGUGAUCUUCUCUUGCACAGAAGCUAGAUUUACUGUAUGUAUAGAAGCCAGAUAAAAAUAAGAGGCUUGGAUACUUUCAUUGCAAAAAGAAAAAAAUUGUCAUCAUCUAAUUGUGUCUAUAUAGAUAAAGAUAAACUAAUUAACUAAGAUACUUUAGCUAUAUAUUCUGUAAGUUGAGUGAUCAUUCAUUUAGCCAAAAUCCAAGUACACCACCAUGUCAAUUGCCAUGAGAAAUGCAGUUAAAAAGUGAUGAUUUUGUCGUAAUUUGCAAGAAUUUAAAAGAGUAUACCAAAUUUGGAUAGGAAAUUAAAGAGCAUCAGUUAUUUCGUUGGCAAGACAAUUAUGUAAUCCCUUGGUAUUUUUAUAUGCUAUUAUUAAAUCAAAUAGCAUAGUGAAGCCUCUAAGUCAGAGCCUGAGUCAUUUUUUAUUAUUAUUUUUUUCUAUUGUUUAUUUGUCAGCUUGUCAUAACUGUCAAGUACUUCAACAUUUUGUUCCAUGUGUGGACAGAAUCAAUAGAAAUGCAGUAAAAAUAUUUUAUGGUCAACCUACAUAAGUAUAAAUUAAACAAAAUAAGAUCAACCCAACCCACCUGUUAGGACUUCCCGUUAGUACAUCAUAUCAAACUGCUGUUUGAUAUGAUUUUCAGUGCUUUCUAUGACUAAUCGUAAAGGCAAGACUAGUAUGAUGGUUAUUUGAUGUGGCAAAAAUACAGAAAAUAACUGUGUUUUUAACCUGUUAAUCGAAAUAGAUGAUUUCAAGAAGAAAGCACAAUUCCUUGCACAAAAAAGUUUUACAACUUUUUAAAUGUUACACCUAACAUAAGACCUGCAGCAUGGCUUUUUAGGCAAUCUAGAAUAAACAAAGGCCUUCCUCAUGCACUACAGGAAAUGAGGUGCAUAUUACUAAGCCGCCCCACCAAGAACAUUUCUGAAAUCAUAUAUAAAUAAUGAGUUACAUAAUUAAAUUUUGCAGCAUGCACACUAACAAAAACGUUCCAAACUAAAUUUUGCUGCAUGUAGACUCAUGGAAUGCAUCCACAAGCAUGGUUGCAGGACUUCCAUAGUUCCAUUAGAUGCACCCUCACAAGCAUGGUUGCAAAAUAAGUAUUUGCAUAAAGAGACAAGUUGCCAGGUAUAUAUAAUAUAGUUGCCAGGUAUAUAUAAUAUAGUUGCCUCGUGUGACUGAUACUACAGUAUGUCUGAGGAGCUAAAACCCAUACCAGAAUUACACUAGUCCCUGAAAUAACUUCAUCGCAGCUCCCCCAUACAUCAAAUUUAAGGACAAUGUCUAAUUGUGUGAUAUAUAUUACUGUACUUUAUCCUAUCAAGAAAAAAAAGGAUAACGUAUAAUAAUGUAUACACAGUACUACAGAAGUAUCCAAGAAACUAGAAUAAACAAUUUAUUGAUUAAAAAUAAUACAUUUACAAUAUGUAUAUGAUCAAUCUUGGCUGUGGUUAUAAAAUUGGACACCCUCUUUGCUAUAAGCCCUUUUGAGUGAGUCCACCCCUCGAGGUGGGGGCAUGACCCCCUAAGUAUUUUGUUUAUUUUUCAUAUUAAAAAUUCAUCUAGACUAACCAAAACCAGCAAAACAACUAAUGCUAAGCAAAAAACAAGAAAUCCAUGCCUUCUAAUAUUUUAAACAAUAGAUUACUAAUAAAAUUCUUAAGUAUAAAUCACUUUCCCCAACUCACUGCAUCCCUUUAAAAGUAAGGAACAUUGUCCCUAUGUUAUAUAAAAAGAAGCUUCUUGGAAUUCCAUGUUUGAAUCCGGAUUUUGGGGAUACCGUGAUUACUGAACUCAAAUGACAUGCAAAUUCCAAAUGAACAAAACAACAAAAUUAGAGCAUGACAGUUCAUUCAUAAUAUAAAAAGCCAUUAAUAUCCAGAGGCAUGUAACCAUAAUUGUCUUCUUAUGAUAAUUUAAAAGGUAUGUGUUUAUCAAAUAUGUUCAAAACUGAAACAUCGUCAUUAUUCAGUAGUUUAAUGCACCUACUGAUAUCCCCAUAAGUAGUCAAAAAGAGCUCCAAAAAUAUAAAUAUUUAAAGACUAACAAAUAUUUUUCUUACGGAAAAUUUUUGUAUGACGCUUGUUGCGAGUAAACACAUUAAUCAAUUACCUAUGUAUCGGUAUUAAUUUAUAGUCGCAACAAGAACUGAUAUGUCUUUAUCGCAAUAUAUAGAAGUACUCAUUUCUCAAUAAUUGAUAUGUACCUUGUGUUUAAAACUAGUUGAUUGAACUCUACAGCUCUCCCAAGUAAGUAGUAACCUUGCAUGAUCCACAACACGUUAGCAGUUAGCCCACCAUAUUGAAUUUGUCAGCAGCAUGCCACACAUGUCCCCCAUAAUACAAAUAAAACAAUAUCUUCUUGUACGAUUCACACUCACCAAAAUCCUCCUUAUCUAAUUGUUCAAAGAUAACCCAAAUUAGAAAAUGCCUCUUUAUCCAGAAUUUGCUGAUCAAUUGGCACCCCAAUAAGCAAAACCCCCUUGGUAUAUCAAACAUUAAGACCUUGAAGCCAUGCCAGCCCUCAUUUUCCCCUACAUUUACAUCCGAGUUGACAAAGAUCUGAAUUUUUGUGCUCCAAACCAACCACAACACUAGUAGCCCCUUAAUAAUUCUGGUAGUCGCAAACAUUAAUCUAUUAGGUUCUUUAUAUCUGUGGCUCAUCAAAAUUAAUGUUACUUAGCCACUUCAGACUAUGCUGCUUUAAGACUGACUUGCAUUUGGAGAUAUUAUCAGUCAGUCAUUUCUUCAUACAGGGAGUCUACAGAAAUGCAUUUGGUAUCAGAUCAUAUGGGUGAAGUUCAAUUUUUUCCAUAAUUUAAAGAAUGUUGAAACAAACCCAGAAAUUAUUUACAAACGAAAAUCAAACAACUUAACCACAAGCCGCUAAAAAGAAUGAUUUGGACAUGGUUAGUUAUAAUAUCCAACGGUUUCCAUGUGUACAAAUUAGAGGUUUCAAAGGUCUUUUCAGCAUCAAACAUCACCAUGUUUUCAAAGACUGCUUCUUUCAAAUUAAAAAUAUAGUAAAAAAACUGACGGACACUAUUUUCUGGACAUGGAAAGAUGACUCGGAUGCAAUAAGGCAUUCAAAGUAAGGGCGACUCAUGCAAGUCAUAAGUAUUUCAACUCAUGCAAGUCAUUUAAUUAAUCUUGUCAAUAUACUCAAUACUAAUAAUAACUCAUAUAUAUUAAUACUACCUCCAUUCCAUUAAUCUUUUUAAUUUUAUAUCUAUAAAUUAAGAAAAUCAUUUAAUAUUAUCAUUUAGAAAUUAAAAUUUAUAUAAAAUUUUAUCAUUACUCCUUUAUGAGAAGUUAAAAAUUAUUAAUAUAAGGGAGAAUAUUUAUUGCGAUAAUGAGACAAGUUAGGGGUGAUAUAGAAAAAUAAAUAAUUUAUUCUUUUAAAAAAUUAUAAACGACAAAUAAAAUAAAAUAAUUUAAAAAAAAAAAAUUGAAUGAAAACAGUAGUGUUUAAGGUGUUAACUCAUUUAACCAUUUAGUAGACAAAUUAAAAUUUUAAAAUAAAAAUAUAUAACGUUUUUCACAAGCUAAUGGCUGAGCCUUACUCAAAUAACCACCGGAAGCAAGAAAAUUGAAAUUGAAUCUUCGCUAGUAAAAUCCAGGGACUGUAAAGCACCUCGGCAACCAGGCUUGCUAUUUAUUCAUUACAAUAAUAUAUAUUUAACAAAGUAUAAGAUAAUAUGCUUAAAAAUAAAUAAAAAUUCAAUAUUUAAAUAAAUUAUAACUCCAUAUCAUAUUUAUUUUUUAAUUAGUUUAAAUAAACAUGUUAAUCAUGUUAAACGUCUGAUAUAUUUAAAUCUUGUAUUAAACGUGUCAAUUUAUUUAUGAUACAAAAAUUAUUUAUACUUAAUACUAUCUCUCUUAUUUUAUGUCUUUCGUGUUAGCAUGUAAUUCAAAUCGAUAUAUAUGAUAAGCAACCGAUUGUGGGGCUGAGUUCUUUAAAUGUACGGAGUUCUUAAUGAAACAAAAAAUAAUAUAUAUAUAUAUAUAUAUAUAUAUAUAUUGUUAUAAAAUUAUAAUAUAUAUAUUUAUGGAUGUCUAAAAUUAUAUUUAAUUAUAAUAAUCUUUGAUAUUUUGAAACUCCCAAGUUCAUUAAGUAACUCCCAUGUUCAUUAAGUUAAAACUCAUGAUUUUUGAGUUUUGAAACUUCCAAGUCCAUAUAUCUUUAAAUAAGAGCAUUGUAAAAGAGAAUGGAAGAUGGAUAUAUGAAAAUAUUAUGAGACAUGUCUCUUUUUUCUAAUCAUUGUCUCCUUUCUCUAAUCAUUUUAUUCUUAAUUUUAGUAAUCUUUUAUAACACGUUAUCAGCACGAAUUGCUUCUCACAAUCGUCUUGAAGAUAAUCAUAUUUGAUUUGAAGGAGAAGGUAUAUUUAUCUAUUAUAUAUAUAUAUAUGGAUACGCAAAAAAAAUUUUAGUAUAACAUACUGCAUGUUAUUCCAUUCAUAAUCUAUUAUUAGAGUUUGUUGUUCUUGGUUCUAGCAUGCUAAUGACUGUUAUACUCAUAUGUAAGUCAUCAUCACACCACCCUCAAAUUGUCUUGUUAUACGGUAAAAUAUCUAACCUCAAUUAUUGUGCAGUGUUUAUUUUUAUAAAAGUGUAUUGUAAUUUUGCAUUCCUUCCAAUCUAAAUAAAUCAAAAGGGAUCCGAUAAAAUACAUGAUGAUUAUAUUUUUAGAUAUUUUCAUAUCUCGGCAGAUAACAACUAGAAGAUAUAAUCUUCAAAAGGGUACUUUCUAGUUUCCGUACUAAAACAAUCUUUAAAAAAAAUUGAUAUAUUUCUAAUGAUUUUUGAUAUAUUUCCUUUUGGCAUGCAUGAUAGCAUAUUUGAUAUAUUUCUAAUAAUUUUUGAUAUAUUUUCUUUUGGCAUGCAUGGUAGCAUAUUUGAUAUAUUUCUAAUGACCUUUUGAUAAAUUUUUGUAUGAAGUUACAAUGACAAAUAUGCUUAAUAGUAUUGGUUUAUUAUUUUUAGUGGACAAAUUUAGUUUCGUGUUUUAUUAUUUGAUGGGGAAUAUAUUUAGUUAUUUAAUAUUCAAAUCUUAUAAAUUUGAAUUUGUUGCCCUUGAUUUAUAUCGAGCAAGAAUUAUUUGUAAUGGAAUUUUGAUGCUGAGAUUCAUAUAAAGGCAAAGAACCUUGGAGAUAUAAUUAUAGUUGACAAUCAUGCAUUCCUGCAGGAUCAUGCAAAAUUAAUGAUUUUUAUUCGCUAUCAUCUCCAUGAAAAAUUAAAAAUUGAGUACAUUACAGUAAAAGACUCACUUGUCUUAUGAAAUGAUUUAAAGGAAAGAAUUUAAAGGCUCAUUAUAAUUGGUUGCACCUGAAGUUGCAAGCUUUUGAAAAGUGUUGAGUGAAAAACACUGAUGAAGACAUGUUAGAGAAAAUAUUUAUUAUAUUUCAUGCCUCGAAUAUGCUCCUGCAGUAGCAAUAUCGAGACUGUAAAUUUAUAAAAUAUUUCCUGAAGCGAUAAAGGAAACUAUGUUUCCAGAAGUGAAAUUAUGUAUUCUAGUAGCUGUACAAAAUAAUGAGUUUUUGUUGAAAAACCAACAAUCUCGCUCAACCGAUUCUAUUACAUUCCCUGAAGUGAAUGGAACCUCAUUUGAUAAUCAUAGAGAAAAUUAUGAUUGUGAUAGUGGACGUGAAAGGAACAAUCAAUAUAGAAAAGGAAUGUACGUGUCGUACUCCUAAACAUUUGGUAUAUAGAUUUGUACUGUAAGACCCCAACUUUUAUAAAUAAAGAUGAAUUUUCUAUAAUUAUCAUUUUUAAAUAUUAUGGAAUGAAUUUGAUAUAAUGUUAUAGUUGUGGGUAAUAUUUAAAAAUUUUGCAAAGUACAUAAGUUGUUUAUAAUAUUCGAUUGGUCGGGGAAUAUUCGUACGACGGCACAAUUAUUAGUGGACCCCACAACGAAAUUAUUGUCGAAUUGAGAAAACGACAAAAAUAUUUUUAUGAAAAUAACGGCGGAAGUUUUACCGUUAAUUGUUGAAACACCCAGUGUUAAAAGUACAGGAAUACGCGUGGCUGCAUAGUAGCACACGAUAUUGAUUAUUAAUGGUUACGUGAGAAGUCACUCAGUUUUGUUCAAUUAUUGCUUCAGUAAUUGUUAUUAUUUGCAAUAUUAACGAUGUCUAGAAGUUUUGCCAAGGAGAGGUUUGGUCACCUAAUUGCGCGCCAAUAUGGAGAAAUCCUUAUUGGAAAGCCCCCGCUUUCCUGGGAACUACCUGGUUGAUUAAUAAUGUGAAUAAUAAUAAUGAUGAUGAAGUUUUGUUUUAUUAGUAUUAUUAAUGUAAUAAAACAGAAAAUCUUUUUAUAUAAAACAAAAUACUUUUAUAAAUUUAUUCGUUUUAUUAGACAAUAAUUAGAAUAUAUUAUAUUUUAUUAUGCAUAGUAUUUGUAUAAUGCCUGCAUAGUGUUUACAUAGUAAAAUCUUUUUAAAAGUUAUUCGUUUUAUUAGAUUAUAAAUAGAAUAUAUUAUAUUUUAUUGUAAACCAAUCUAGACCGUCCGUUUAAAGUAAAUCGAUCUGGACCGUUCAUGGAUUGGUUACUAUUCAGUCCAUUCUUCUAUAAAUAGAAGCUCAUUCCUUCAUUAUUUCUUACGAAUUCACUGAAACUCUAGAGAGAGAAACUGUAGAGAGAAUUAUUCUUCUAUCUUGAGCGUAUUUCUUUAGCGUUUAAGAAAGCUUUGAGCGUAGUGCAAGUUUCUUCAAGUAUAUCCCCGCCCUACCGUCGGAGUACUCUUCUUUAUAAGGUAAGGGGUAUUAUUUUUUUUAUAUUCAUGAAGAGAACUUCUGUUAUUCCAUUCUUUAUUAUUCUGUUGGAAUAACCUGUAUACGCGGUCUACCCUAUACUUGGUGAUUUCUGUUGUUAUUCCAUUCUUUAUUAUUCUGUUGGAACAUCCUGUCUGUGCGUUUUACGCCGGACCUGGUUCCGUCUUUAUUAUUCUGUUGGAAUAUCCUGUCUGUGCGUUUUACGCCGGACCUGAUUCCGUUAUUUAUUAUUCUGUUGGAAUAACCUGUCUAUGCGAAGUACCGCAUGCAUGGUGAUUUCUGUUGUUAUUCCAUUCUUUAUUAUUCUUUUGGAAUAUCUUGUCGGUGCGUAUUACGCCUAACCUGGUUCUGUUAUUUAUUAUUCUAUUGGAAUAACAUGUCCAUGCGAAGUACCGCAUGUAUAGUGAUUUUUUUUGUUAUUCCAUUCUUUAUUAUACUCAGUUGAUUAAAAUUUUGACUUUUAUACUCCAUGAAAUUAGUGAAAUAUCCUUGAUAUUUGCGCUUCAUCCAGUAUCAUUUCAUGGAAAUAUUCUUCUGAGCAUUCUUGAAUUUUACUCUACAAAGAAGUAUCAUGUUGACAAUUUGGACGUUAUUAGUUCCUGNNNNNNNNNNNNNNNNNNNNNNNNNNNNNNNNNNNNNNNNNNNNNNNNNNNNNNNNNNNNNNNNNNNNNNNNNNNNNNNNNNNNNNNNNNNNNNNNNNNNUGUCUAUUGUAUUUUAUCAGUUUAACAUUGUUGAAGACUAAUGAUAAUUUAUUCUGCAUUAUCUUAGUCAUAAUAUUUCUUACUGGGCUAGUUGAGCUCACCCUUUCUUUCACUGUUCUCUUCAGGAAAUGAGAACGUAGCCGGGACUAGUCGGGGAACGGAGUGACGGUCCAGAUGAUAGUAUUAGUAGUCCUCACUAUUCUGUUAAAUAGUGUGUUAAUAAAUGUAAUGAGGACUUAUUCUGAGAGUGGAUAUUGUCUAGAAGAUAAUGUUUGUAUUAAAACUCACAGCUCUCUUGUUGUAUAUUUAAGAUUGUAUUUGUCCUCAGAAUAGGUGAUGUAUACCUAUUUUGGGGGCGUCUCAUGUACCAAGACUCCAUAAAAGAAAAGAAAAUGGAAUUGAAAUAAACUUUAUUGUUCAUAAUGAUCCUGAAGAUCCUAUGAAUUAUUUUGACUUUUCAAAUGGAGUAGAUAUAACUAAUUUUGAUAUCUAUGGUUUCCUUGAUGAUUCUUUAUAUUCUUUUGAGUCAAACAAGAAAUUUGCUCAGCUUUAAAGAUAUACGUUAUAAUGGUCAUCCAUUGAAGAACCAGAAGAUUCUUUAAUUUAAGGAAUUCUCAUGUGCUGCUUGUCCUCAAGGCAAAUUGGUCAUUAGACCUUCACCAGCUAAAAUUGGGAUUGAAUCUCCAAAGUUUCUUGAACGUAUUCAAGGAGAUAUUUGUGGGCCUAUUCACCCAUCAAGUUGACCAUUUAAAUAUUUUAUGGUUUUAAUAGAUGCAUCUACAAGAUAGUCACAUGUGUGCUUAUUAUCAACUCGCAACCUGGCGUUUGUGAGAUUAUUUGCUCAAAUUAUUAGAUUACGAGCACAAUUUUCGGAUAAUACAAUCAAGACUAUUCGUCAUGACAAUGCUGGUGAAUUUACAUCCCAAACAUUUAAUGAUUAUUGCAUGUCACUUGGGAUAAAUAAUGAACAUUUUGUUGCCCAUGUUCAUACUCAGAAUGGUCUUGCUGAAUCAUUUAUUAAACACCUCCAGUUAAUUGCAAGACCAUUGCUCAUGAGAACAAAACUUUCUGUCUCUAUUUGGGGGCAUGCUAUAAUAUUGAAGGCAGUGAAGAAUUUCUUUAUAUUACUUCAAUAGUAUCGGGCCAAAAGCUCAUAUUAGAAAAGCUGUAUAUUUUCUCUUCUGGGUUAUAUUAUACUAAAAUGAGAAUGGUUGAAACAAAUGUUGUAAUAUACCAGAAGUGUACAAUACACCAGAAAUGUUCGGAUCCAAAUAUUUUUAUGAUUUGGAAUAAUCGUAUUGAUCAUCCAGAAUCGAUAAUGUUGCGUUGAAUUAUUGAAAACUCCCAUGAACAUCCUGUAAGGAACCAGAAGAUUCCUUUACUUGUUGAUUAUAUCAAAGUAAAUUACCAAUACAUGCUUGGGGUCAUGCUAUUCAUAAUCUCAAUAAGUGAUAUUUUUAAGGUAUAAUUUGAGGAUUGUCAUUUUAAUAAAACAGUCUUCCCACCAUUAGGGGGAGAAAAGUCAUUGCCUGAAGCACGACGUUAGAUCGUUGCCUGAAGCACGACUGGAGAUUAAUUGGAAUGUUUCGUUGCCUAAAGCACGAUGUGAGAUCGUUUCCUGAAGCACGAUGGGAGAUUAAUUGAAAUGUUUCAACGUUAUUUAAUCCUGAUUCUCAUACAAAUCAAUAUGAACUAGAAGUUCAAAGGAUUAUUCAUUUGCAAUGAAUUACAAAUCAAUUAACAGAAUUAUUCACCGAUAAUAAGAAAAGUGUGAUAUCUCACAUUUUAGUUGAUAAUACUCUAGCAGAGAUUGAAGUCCUUGUAGGACAAUCAGUUAAUACAACAGCAAACUGAAACCACACCUAGAGCGUGGAAGAUAUAUCGGUGUUAAAAAAUAAAAUUUCCUAGAAGAAGAAAGUACAAGAAAAACAAGUUGCAGCCUAUAAAGAGGUUAUACCCAUGAAACAGGUUACAAAAAUUAUUGAUCUAUCCAAAACUUAUGAAAAAAAAUCUCUUGUAAAUAAAACUCUUGAAGAGUUAUCUCCUAAAGAGGAUGAGUUAUCCCCUGAAGAGGAUCAGGUACCUGAAAAUAACGAGAUCUCGAUACAUUAUGUUUAUACAGGAGACAGAUAUAUUGGAUAGAAAUAAAAUUAUUGUCGACAACAUAUUUUUAUAUAAAGUUGUUCUUGAUAUUACCAGAAGUAAUGAUCAUGAAUAUGAAUUACAAAUUAUUGAUGAAUGUUCAACGUAAAAAUGUUUGGCCAAUGUGGAAAGAGGCGAUUCAAGUAUAACUAAAUUCACAAAGUAAGCGUGAAGUUUUUGGACCUGUAGUCCGAACACCUGAAGGUGUAAUGCCUGUUGGAUACAAAUGAGUAUUUGUACGAAAUAAGAAAAAUGAAAUUAUAUGGUACAAAGCGUGACUUGUAGCACAAGGUUUCUCGCAGAGACGUAGUAUUAAUUAUGAAGAAACAUAUGCUCCUGUAAUGGACACAAUUAUAUUCAGAUUUUUAAUUAGCUUGGUAGCAAAUGAAAAUUUUGGAUAUGCGAUUAAUGAAUGUUGUUACAACAUAUCUGUAUGGAUCAUUAGAUAAUGAUCAUAUAUACAUGAAAAUCCCUGAAUGAUAUAAAAUGCCUGAAGCAUAUAAUUGUAUGGAUCAUUAGAUAAUGAUCAUAUAUACAUGAAAAUCCCUGAAGGAUAUAAAAUUUCUGAAGCAUAUAAUUCUAUAUCUCGAAGUAUGUAUUUUAAGCUAGAAAGAUCUUUAUAUGGGUUAAAGCAAUCCAGAUGGAUAUUGUGGUAUAAUCGCCUGAGUAGAUAUCUUUUGAAAGAAGGAUUUGAGAAUAAUUCAAUUUGUGCAUGUAUUUUUAUCAAAAGAUCAUAAUAUGGAUUUGCUAUUAUUACUGUAUUUAUUGAUGAAAGAUCUUUCUCCAGAAGAGUCGAUAAAAACAACAAAUUUGAGAUGAAAGAUAUUGGUAAGACAAAUUUUUGUCUUGACCUACAAAUUGAGCUAUGGAAUUCUUGUUCAUCAAUCAACAUACAUAGAAAAAGUCUUGAAGUAAACUUUACAUGGAUAAUGUUAAUCCUUUAAGUACUUCAAUGAUAGAUUGGUCACUUGAUAUCAAGAAAGAUCUGUUUUGACCACACAAAAAUAAUGAAGAAAUUCUUGGUCCUAAAGUACCAUAUCUUUGUACAAUUGGUGCUUUGAUGUAUAUUGCAAAAUUUCUCAUGAUCUGAUAUAGCAUUUGCAGUUAACUUACAAGCAAUAUGGAUCAAAACCACAGUUAGUUGGAUCUGCUGAUGCAGAAAUUAUCACAAUUUAUGAAGUAAGUUGUGAAUGUAUUUAGUUGAGAUCAGUAAUUCAACAUAUUUGUGUGAACUGUGGAUUAUCAUCAAUUAUAAAUAGUCCAACGAUAUUAUAUGAAGAUAAUGUCGCUUGUAUCACUCAAAUUAGAGGAUGCUAUAUCAUGGGUGAUAGAACCAAGCAUAUUGCAGCAAAAUUAUUUUAUACACAUGAGCCCCAGAAGAAUGGCGAUAUUGAUAUCAAGCAUAUAUGAUCAUGUGAUAAUUUGGUUGAUAGAUUCAUUAAGUCCUUACCAACUAUGAUUUUGAAAAAGAUGGUGCACAAUAUUGGCAUGCUUCGACUUAAUGAUAUUUUUACCAUGAACAAUGAAAAUUCUAUGUACUUAUGAAGGGGAGUAAAAAGGAUAUGUGUUGAUUGUACUCUUUUUCCUUCGCUAAGAUUUUUUUUCACUGGGUUUUCCUUUAUAAGGUCUUAAUGAGACAAUCCCAAGGCACUAGAAGUUAUACAAGAAUAUUGUACUCUUUUCUUUAGCCAAAAAUUUUCCCACUGAGUUUUUAUUUGGUAAGAUUUUUAACGAGGCAUAUUCUUAGAAAAUUACUAUAACAUAUUCUUAGAAAAUUACUAUAAAAGGACUCCAUCCAUUCUAUAUGAAGACAAUGCUGCAUGUAUAGCUCAAUUAAAGGGAGGAUACAUCACAUAUUCGAUCAAAAGAUAAUCUAGCAGUUUUGUUCAGUAAAGCAUUACCAACUACAAUGUUUGAAGGAUUGCGUCACAAUAAUGAAAUGUGACAGCUGAAGGACUUAAAGAUACAUUCAUGAGGGGGGGAGCUAAUACGCGCUGCACUCUUUUUCCCUUAACCAAGGUUUUUUCCCAUUGAGUUUUUUCUGGUAAGGUUUUUAAUGAGACAACUUUCUAUGUGUAUGGCUAUACAAUAGACAUCCAAGGGGGAGUGUUAUAAAAUUAUAACAUAUAUAUUUAUGGAUGUCUAGAUUUAUAUUUAAUUGUAAUGAUCUUUGGUAUUUUGAAACUCCCAAGUUCAUUAAGUUACUCCCAUGUUCAUUAAGUUUUAAACUAAUGACUUUUGAGUUUUGAAACUUUCAAGUCCAUAUAUUUAUAAAUAAGAGCAUUGUAAAAGAGAAUGGAAGAUGGAUAUAUAAAAAUAUUAUGAGACAUGUCUCUUUUCUCUAAUCAUUGUCUCUUUUCUCUAAUCAUUUUAUUUUUAAUUUUAGUAAUCUUUUAUAACAUAUAUAUAUAUAUAUAUAUAUAUAUAUAUAUAAAAGAAAUUGACAGCCAUUAUUUUUUUUUGAGAUAAUACAGUACAUAAGUGGGAGGAUAAUCUCUUCGUCUACGUGUUCAAAGGCGAAACCACAUAAGUAUAUUGUGGGGUCAACUGACCCCAUUGAAAAAAUAAUUACUUUAUAAUUUAAGGUAGAUUUAAAAAAUUUUAAGUAUUAUAUAUAAAUUGACCCCAUUAAAAUUUUAUACAAUACGGGGUCAAAUUGAAAAUUUAUAAUUUUAUCAAUCAAAUUUUAACCACAUAUGACUCGUAUCCUCUAAAUAUAUGUAUAUCUCUCUAUAACAUUUUAAACUAAAUAAUAAUCUAAUUUAUAUUAUUUUAAAAAAUAAUUAAUAAAUUAAUUACUAAUGAACAAUUGUUAUUAAAAAAUUUUAUUAUAAGUCAAUAUAGUGUAUACCAUAUUAUUACUCAUUAUAUUAUCAUUGUAAUAUAUUGUAUAUAUAUAUAUAUGUGUGUGUGUGUCUAAAAGUACAAAAGUAUUAAAAAAAAAUUCUCAAAAGCACUGCCUUCGAACCCCAGCCAAAUUAUUUAUAAAAAAUUUUAACCCCACUAAACAUUAUUUUUGACUUUACUACUGUACAUAUCAACAUUGUAUUGAACAUAAAAUUCACUUUUACUUGCAAUUCCAUGUUUUUGGACAUGGAUUGUCAGAUGACUCGGAUGCAACAAGGCAUUCAAAGUAGAAAUUACAAUAACGUCUUGUUAAACUAUAUCAUUGUGUCCACUGGUUAAUUAAUUAUUCAUAGAUUUGUAUUAAUUUUUAAACUAUAUCAUUGUGUCCACUGGUUAAAAAAAUAGAUAUAUUUUUGUCUUAAAAUAAAAGGACUUUAAAUAAAAAUAUUUAGUUAACCUAUUUUAUACUUCCCCUUGUACUAUUUUCUUUGUAGUUUACGGAUCAAGUAGUCCGUAUUCUUUGCCAGAGGAAGCAUUUUAGUUUCUGAAACUCGAAAUUGAUAAUCUUUUGAUAAUAAGUUGGUGGAACUGCUGAUUAUAUGUGCCAACAUAAUGACAUGCCUUACCUUUCAUUUUUUUUAAUCACCGUUAACAAAAACCAGAGAAAUACAGCAGACAAUAUUGAAUUGCAAAUUAAAUCUGAACCUGUACACAGCCAAUCCCCUCAGCUACCACCCCCCACCUCCCCACCACCCACCCAAAUAAAAUAAAAAAAUCUUAAAACAAAUGUUUUCAGUCACUUGCACACACAACAAUCAUCUUUACAUAGCUUUUGGGAUUUUGCCUAUACCAAAAAAAAUCAUGCACUGAAAGGAAAAAAGAAAGAAUAGGGGAUAAGGGCAAAGGAAAGCAAGUUCAAGAACGAACAAAAACGUUUCUCCUGCAGACACCAAUGCUCGGAACCUCUUCCCCCAAGGGGUUCCUCACCCAACUCACCCCUUUCGCUUCUUGACGUCCUUGCACAUAUAAGCUUAGUCUUGUAAAUUCCACAUAUUUACAAGGUUGAAAAUGUAGUAAGAAUUACCACUCAAUGGAUAUGAGGCUCGGGUCCUUUAGAUGAUAGCAUAUUUGGUUAUGUUGUCUUAGUUCCUUUUGCUCUCUGAUCUUGGAUCUGGAUUUUCACUUUUGUCAGUGUCAUAGUUCUCCCUCUGGGAUUCAAUGUCCAUGCUACCUGUUUGAGUUCUUCGAUGCCUUCGAUCCUAAAAAUAGACGAUCAAAAAAUCCAUGUCAAACUAUUUUUAACAUUUAUACCUAAGAGCUGUAAUUAAGGUUUUACAAAAGGGUUAUAGAAAGCGAGCUUGCAUUGUACGCACUUAGGGAAGUAACAUGAAGUUGAGAAAGUAAAAGAUGGAAAAAGGUUUACCACAUAUGAACAUAAAACCAACUAACUACACGAGCAAAAAAAAAAAUCUUUGAUCUUCCUUGUUAAGAUUAAAUCUUCUAAGUCACCAAGUAUGGACAAGUUGCUGAAGUCUCUACUGUCUGAGAGUAAUCAGUGAUGAAUGAUAGACCUUUUAUAUGUUUAUAUAGUUGUCAGUACAGAGGGAGCAGCUGCAACAUGAUAAAAAAAUAUUUCUAAAAAGCUUAUUUGACUAUCACCUAUAGCAGAAAAUCUCCGACAUUUCUCAUACUUGCCUCUUACCCCAAAAAAACCUCUCUCUCUCUCUCCCCUGGACUCUGGAGUGGUCAAGAUAUUACUAAAGUGAAGACCUCAUCAAAACCCUUGACUAAUGCUUCAAAAAAAAAUCCCUCAACUAUCCCAAAGUGAAUGGUGGAACAACCCAUUGUCUUCCACUAGUCCCAUCAUAGGACCAGGCUUAGUGGCUUUCUGGGUCCUGCUCUGACCCAGGUCAGAAUGAAUCAUGAAGGUGCAAAUAGUUCAUAGAAACUGUAACCGCAGGACAGAAGUUUUGGCUCUAUAAGUAUCUUUAAGGUAUAAAGUUGUCCUUUAUGAUUGAUGCAUUGGGAUAUUUUUAACUUUCGAGUACUAGUGUUUCACUAAAAGAUGUUAGUUGGAUCCUGUGCUUGCAUGGAAUUUUGAGAUAAUUUGGCAACUGGCAUUUAUGUGGCAUGAACACCAAGGCCUAAGCUACAUUCAUUAAAGAGAAAAACCUAGGCAAAUGGCAGACAUGAGAUACUAUAAAUUGAAUAUACUGAUCAAAAGCUAGAGUUAGCACUAGGGAGGUGAUGGUUUAAGAAACUGCAUAUCAAGUUUCUUUAUACUAAAAUUCAAAUUUCAUUGAUGCACAUGUACAGAGAAAACCAAACUGACCUCCCUUGGUAUGGGAUAUUCCUCUGAUUCAAGCAUACGAGUAACUUGGCUCAUCUUGGGCCUCUUGUCAGAAUCUGGAUCAACACACCGUAAAGCAGUUAAGAGGGCUCGCUUCAAUGCUCUUGUUGAUGGCCUCGUUUCAAUGUUUGGAUCCAUCACUUCCUCUGACCGCCUGCUUCCAACCAUCAUUUUUAGCCAAUCUACUAGAUUAACCUGCAAACAAGAUUACAUUCAUUAAUACUGCAUAACUCUGGAGUUAAAGCAUCCAUGAAUGUUGGAAAUAAGAAAAACCAAACCAAACUCAGAAAAAAGGGUUUCCACUAAAAAAUUAGUCUUUUAUUGAUCAAGAAACAUAAUAACUUGGCUUGGUAGCUUUAUUAAGAAAACACUAAUUAAAUGUACAGUUCCAUCCAAUAAUGAUGCAAACAAAAAUUAUCCAAAUGAAAACUUGUGUAAAGUGUAGAAUCAGAAUGGAUAGAUCAAUAGCAUAUAGCUAUAAAACUUUUGACAUGCAUGUACUUAUAAGAUGUCGGAACAAUUCCAUUUACUUUUCGAUCCAAAGUGUUGCUGGUAAGUAGCAGUGAUAAAAAUCUUUAACUUCGUUACAUGAUUACUUAGCUUUUACAUGAAGUCCGCAUUAAUGAAAAACUUUGCCAUCUGUAGAAUAAAUGAGAAAGGUGGGGGCAAAAAUGUAAACUACAAUUUCAAUCCAGAUUAAUUUCUCUUCAAAAAAUGAUGAUACUGCUCACACUAAAUCCGAACAAUGUUACUAUUCAGCUGUCGUCUAGUAGUGAAAAUUCAAACAAUAUCUUGUCUCAGAAUUCAAAAGGAUAUCAAAUUAUAUAAUAAUUGCUUACCUCUUGAGCAGGACGGCCAUAGUCUACAGGAUCUCUGCCUGUGAUUGCUUCUAGAAGCAAAACCCCGAAACUAUAAACAUCACUCUUUUCGUUCAAAAGGCCAGUAUUUGCAUAUUCAGGAGCCACAUACCUGUAUAAAUUGAAGGAAAUAAAUUGAAAAUGAAAUAUGAAUAUGCUUUUGGAUCAGUCUAACUUAAACAGGAAGUUCACAAUACCACCUUUUUGGCCACAAGAACAAAAAAAAACAUGAAAUAUUCAUAGAAACAAUACAAACAAUAUACUGACCCAAACGUUCCCAUGACCCGAGUUGUAAUGUGACUUUUUCCAGCACCAAGCAGCUUAGCAAGGCCAAAAUCAGAAACCUUGGCAUUGAAGUCAUCAUCAAUCAAUAUAUUGCUCGACUUUAUGUCUCUGUGCACCACUUUUGGCUCAAUUGCUUCAUGCAAGUAUGCAAGACUGCAAUUAAUGUAUCACAUGAGAUUUGUAAUGUCAAGAUAACGGUAGAGAUGUAUUGACUUACGUUUUAGCUGUGCCAAGAAGAACCUUCGUCCUGGCCUCCCAAGUAAGAUAGCCAUGCUGGCGCAUAGAUCCAUGAAGCCAUUGUUCUAAAUUCCCAUUAUUGACAUACUCGUAGACUAGCAUCCUGAUAUGGUUAGAAAAUAUGAAAUGGGAAUAGCUGUACAUGAUAUGUAAAAGCCUAAAAGGAAACCAUACACUGCCAGCAAUGUCAUCAUGCUACUAAUCAAAACUUUAAGAGCAUAACACAGUUAGUUAGCUUUAGGCUACAUAAAAUGAAUAUUUUUAAUCAAUUGUUUGGUUUUGUAAAGCAUGGCAGAUUCAUCCCUGAUAUAAAACAUUUUCAAAAUGAAAAUCAAACCUAUGAGUUCCUUCAAUGCAAUAUCCCAACAGUCUAACCAAAUUUUUGUGGCGCACAUGACCAAUAGCUUCAACCUCCACACUGAAUUCUUUCUCUGCUUGUCCCCUAAAAACAGGAACAAAAUUUAACCUAAGAUGAAUAAGGGGAAAAGAUAAAGCAAUGAACAAAGUUGUGAAGGAAAUCUAUUUUUAAACUUACAGGUUGUUGAAGAGCUUCUUAAUUGCCACUGGGCUCCCAUUAAUUAAAUGUCCCCUAUAAACAACACCAUACUCACCUUCACCAAGAACAUUGUCCUUUGAGAAUCGAUUUGUUGCAACUUCAAGAUCUCUUAAUGUAAACCAAUGACCCCAGCCCAAAUGAGAAAAUUCAGGCAGACCAGUUAAAGGAGAAGGGGCUGUUAUUGGAUGUGACGAAGAUGGUUUAUACACAGCAAAUGUACCAGAACUCCCUUCUUCUCCAGAUUGUGACCUGCAACCGUCUUUGUCCAGAUGGUCGAAAGAACCUAAUUGACUGCUGCUAUUAUCUCCAUUCUUCUUUUUUCCCAUUCCGAGAUGGACCAAAACUUUAUCUGAUUCUUUAUCACUUGAUUUGUCAUGAAUAGUGAGAAGAAUCCCUUCACGUGGAGCAAAUUCAUUUGUAGAAACUUGCUCCACUCGUACUUCCUUUAUUUCCUUUGAAACGGUUGGAAUUUGGCUAAGGGGAAUCUUUUCUGUUCUUUUCAAUUUCUUUUGUGAAGUAAGAUAGAAAGCUAAUGCCAGGAGGAUAACUACAAUAAACAAUCCCACAAUUAUCCCAAUAAUUUCCCAGACCUCGAGGCCAAAAAUAGCAGUUUUCUUGGAUAAUCCCCUGUUUAGAUCGGUAGACAUCUUUUGCACACAAUGGAGACCUACAGGGGUAACCCAAGUAACAUGAAAAUUGCAACUUUAUAUAUACAUUUGUGUUGAUACAGUUCUGUCAUUCAUGCAGAAAAUUCAGACUUUAUAGCCAUUUUUAGCAUUUUUCUUACUAACAUCAAUUCAUGAUGAUUCAAGUUUGUAAUUUGAAUCUUCAUUAAUGCUACAAACAUGAAUCACUUCAUUUCCAAGCUAACAAAAUUGGUAGAAAAGAGAUAAUCAAUCAUGUAGAAACAAAUUAAGAUAACUUAAACAAUGUGAUUGGCAAAAUCCAACUUCAUAAGAAAAAGGCAAACAACGUAACCAGAUCAAUAAUAAAAUUACCAUUUUUUAAACACAUUAACACAAGUUCUUCAUUAAAAUUCAAUGUUAAUUUUACUUAAACUAAUAGGCAAAAUAAUCAGCUUCACAAAAAAAAAACAUCCCCUUACCUUUUAAGAAAAGAUUCAAAACAGCAACUUUCAGAGCCCAGAUCUCAGAAAUCCCAUCAGCGGACCAUCUAUGUUAACCUAUGAAACAAACACCAUUAUAGAUCUCUCUAAUAAAAAAAAUUACCCAGUAAAAAUUUUCACAUCCAAAGACACCCAAAUCAGUCAAAUUCUAAGCCACCCUUGCUUAAAAAAAGCCACCUUCUAUAGAUUUUCGAUCUGGGUAUUCUCUGUAGUGGAAAAUGUGAGUCUGAAUCUAAGCUCAGAUGGAGCUUUCUUAACACCACCUUCUGCCCCCACUUCUUCUUCAAGAACCAUAUAGACAAGAAUGACAUCAAGAUGAAUACUGUAUUAACAUGGUGAGUUUUGAUACAUUAAAAAAUAAGGGGAAUGAAAUGGAAGGGAAAAUGGAGUUAUGAGUAGUUGGUGAGGGAAAUUUUGGCAGAAAAAAAUGCAAGGUACUCUUUUUCUUUUCUUGGGUUUCUUCUGAAUAUGACUGAUUAUCUGAAUUCAACAUUUGAUCUAAAAAACACCAGAAGUAAAAGAGCAAAUUAGUGAUGGUUAAGGCAUUGAAAAAUGGCAGCUUUUAGUUUUCAAGGCACAAAUGAACCGACUCCCUACCAGAAAGAAAGUAAUACUACUUUUUACCUUAUUGCCAGGCAGGAAACAGAGGACUAGUACUAAAAAGAAACACACUCCAUAAUGCUGAGAGCUAAUGCUUAAACUAGUCGAAUUGAACCUAAUUGAGAGUUGAGAGUUUUGCUAAGUAUAUUCGUAUUCACAUUUGACUCGAAUUAAAAUUGUAUUUAAAAAAUACUAUUUUUAUUUGACUCUUACUCAAAUUCAAUUCAAAUCAGAUCGAAUUAUAUUCAAACUAACUUUAAAUUCAAAAUCGAAUUCGAGUAAUUACAUUUAUAGUAGAUAUAAUUAUAAAUUAAACUUAUUAUUUUAUUUAGAAAUUAAAAAAUAUAUUCAUUAUUAUACAUUAUAAAUAUAAAAUUACAAUUAAAAAUAAAAUAAUAAUAAUUAAUUAUUCUAAUUUUAUUUAUUUUGUAUAUAUUAUAAGAGAAUAUAUCAAGUAUCUACUUGAAUAUGUAUCAAUCCAAUACGUAUCGAAUCACAAUUAAAAGUUUGAUUAAUUUAAAUUAUAAACGAGUCAAAUAUAAUUUUACUCAAAUUCUACUCAUAUUUUUAUUAAAAUUAUUUUUUGUGCUCAUAUUUGAAUUAUAUUACCAACUAUCCGAGUCUUGCUGUUAUUUUCCGUUUAGUUGGGAGGGAAGAGUAAAAUUACUCAGGGCUGGUAGCUUAUUUGACCCAGUUGAGUCUAAUUGAUCUAUCAAUUGGGCUUGUAAUCAAGCCCAAGCCUAAAGUUUAGAAUCCUUUAUUUUCAAUGGUCAAAAAUCAAUUUAAGCACGCGUAGCAUUGAAUUAAAUCUUACGUUUAUUAAAAUUAUGGAGUACAAAUUUAGAAUGAUUACAAUAUUUAAAUGUUUUCUUAGUGUAAAGAUGAAUGACUCUUGAAAUUAAUUUUAAAAACUUAAUGAUAUAUAUUGUUGAAUGCUUACAUUAAUUUUUUGAUUGUUAUUAAUCUUAUAUAGAUCAGUUUCGCAAUUAUAAUUCGACGUAAAUUUAUCGUAAUACAUAGCAGAAUUUUGAUAUUUUAUAAUAAUAUAUAUGCACAACGAUCUUCAAAUAAUGUUUACUUAUGUUUCAACUAUUUUGAAAUGGAUUCAGUAGCUUAUUAUUUGGACAGUUAAUGUUUUUGACAAACAUUAGCAAUGAUAAAUAUUCAUUGAUUCACAUGUGAUGGUAUCUUGAACUAGAAUGAUAUUUCUAUACACCACGUUAUACCUAGCUUAGCAAUAUACUUAUAAGUUAUUAUACAUGGGGUGGGGUGGGGUGGGGUGGGGUGGGGGAAUCAAUUAAGAAAGGAUCCAAUGAACCUUAUCAUUAGCCAGCAGAUAAUUGUAUGGAUGGGUAAUUUCAUAAUUAAAAACGAUAAUUUAGUAAGAUCUGCGUUAAACCAAUAAUUACGGAGUAAAUAUUACAUUUCACUUUAUAAACAUGACAUACAUACUAGGAGUUUGUAGCCUGUAGCAACAUCAAUUGACCAAUAAAAUGCUAACACACAUAAAAUCGUGUCACACUCAUAAGACAAUUGAUCAACUUCCUAAAAAAUGAACUUUAUGCUAACCACUUCCCAAAAUUAUGUUGGGGUUUUAAGAAUAUAAGAGUGCCUUGAUCAGCAGCAGCAAACAACAUGCAAGAUAGAGUAUUCAAUUAGAAGGCCCAAAUAAUAAUAUUGAGGAAGUGCAGAAAAAAGAUACUUCCAAGUAGCAGGGGCAUGAACAACUAUAUUAACUAUAUGCAUACUAAGUAUAUUAUUUUAAAACUAUAUGCAUACUAAGUAUAUUAUUAAGUAUAUUAUUUUAAGUAUUAUUAACUAUAUGCAUACUAAGUAUAUUAUUUUAAGUAUAUUAUUAACUAUAUGCAUACUAAGUAUAUUAUUAACUAUAUGCAUACUAAGUAUAUUAUUAACUAUAUGCAUACUAACUAUAUUAUUUUAAAACUGAUAUAUCAUACACUUCCAACAACUACAAAUUUAUAAUUAAAAUAAGAAAGCUAAAAAUAUAAGGCUGAGUUUCAUCUUUUUUCAGAGGGUGAAAAAAUAAGGGGCAUCUACAAUGACCAUUACUACAAUUUAGAACAACUAUCUAUGGCUUUGCUGAAUUGCCUUUGGAUGACUUCUAAUCCCCAAGGAAUCCGAUGCUUUGUACAACAAUCCUAAAUACAACAGUAAAUUACUGCUUCGAAAACAAGAGCAAGAUCACCAUUGACAUGGAAACCACAAUCUUGAAACCAGAGCUUUCCCAAAAGUUCUGUUUAUCAACACCUGAAACUCCAGCUUGUUGCUUUGUUGCUAACUGAUCUCUCAAUUCUUUUAGCGCUUUGUCUCGCCGCUCUCCCAUCUGUUACGAUAAGUACAAUGACAACUAAGAAGAGAAGUUGGAAGAUAUCAAAGAUUUACUUGGUAAAGUUUAUUAGUUUUGUUAUUUAAAUGGAAAUGUUUUGUACAGGCAAAAUAUAAGGUCCCUUUCAUUAUUAUAAAUAGAAAACUAUCUAUCGCAUGCAAGUCCAUGUUAAAAAGCUACAUACUUAAAAAGAGUCCACCAUUUAGAUACAGAAAUCAUAGUUUAUACACACACGAGGGUCUUUAACUCUUAAGCAAGAAAGAAAUAUAAAGGGACAAUUGCACACUAAUAGCCUAAUAUCAGGGCGGCAUGAAAUGUAUAACUUAUAACAAGCAAAAAGUUUUAUCAGCUGUACAUGCAUAAGGUUUCAAUCACAAAUUAAGAAAAUUGAACAGAAGAUAGAUUGCAUUACCCUUUGAAGUUUGCGUGUUUGUGCACGAGCUUCCUGGAGACAGAACUCUAAUUUUAAAACCCUUUUCUUCAACUCCUGAUCAGCUCUCCGAUGCUUCUCUAGCUGUCACAGGAACAAUUCAAGAGACACAUAAUAUAGGCAAAAGCCAUACAAGCGAUGGAAUAAUUUAAUUAGACAACUGUAGUUUAUAAAAGAUAAAGAGUAUGUUAAAAUAUAACUCCAGAUGAGCGUACCUGUGAUUCUAAUUCCUUGGUUUUGAGCUUCCAGUGAGCAGACAUUAUCCGAAUUUCAUCUCUCAGCUUGACUAUUUCUUCAUCCUUAGCACUUAAAAGCUUAUUGAUCUUGUCAAAGUUCUUUGGUGAAACCUCAUCCAAUAUCCUCCUCAACUCACAAUCACUACUUGGUCCAGCUUUUUCCAAUGCUUGCAUAAUGUCACGCUCCAUUCUUAUAACUUCAUCUUUCAGUUGAUUUUGGGAGGAUUCCCUUGCUUGAAGAUCCUUCUGCAACAGAUUUAACUGCUCCGCCAACCUAUUAACACGAAUUUCGUGUUCUUUUAUGGAGUUAUUUUUCUCAUCUAACUCCUUCACUAAAACCAAACACUGGACCUGUGAUGAUUGAGCCAAUGCAUCACUUGCAUCUGCAGUUGCUUGAAUAACUGUGAGCUGUGAUCUAAGAUCAUCCAAGUCCUUGAGGUACUGCCGCACAUAAAAAAAACUAUGUUGAGGAUUACAUAUACUGAAAUAUGUGUGGGUGCCAAAAAUGUACAAAUAUCACAUUGACCAAUAAAAACAAAAGAUGUGGGGAAAAAAGGAAAGGAAAGAAAGUACAAUUUGCUGUUGAUCCCUUGUAAAUGGAAUAAAUGAUUCCUUUAUUUCACCAAUUUAGAAAAGAAAAACUAUCCUGAAAUAGACAUAAAGUUAAACAUCACAUAAUUGCCAUAUUCUAAAAUAUUAACAACUUUACACUAAUUAAUUCCUUCAACAACCACUUAAUUUAUAACAUCUAUAAUUUUAUUCUCUAAUAAUUACUGAUUUGACUAUAAGCAAUUAAAGUUGAUUUGGAAAGUGACCACUUCUUAACAUAGUUAAACAAAAUUAUAAAUUAUACACGUACAAAUUCAUCAAACAAUUUAUCAGUUAUUACUACUUUAGGGGGGAGGGAGAGCUGGAAUCUCUAUCAACAAAGACAUACUUUUAUUAUGCGCACCACGCACAACUCCUCGAAAUAGGGUAGACUUUUGAGUUUAUAUGGUGCCUCCAACAGUUCAGUUAAUAUCUAAUACUAAUAGCCAUUGAAUUUCCUACAUACAAUAUUAUGCAAAAUGUUUGUGGACAAAUUUUUGUGCCCUGAAAUUUAAACUUGGCAGCUUUCAGAGCAAUGUUUAAACAAUACUACAGUGCAUUUAUGUUUGGUUUUAAUUAAUCAAUCAACUUAACUAAAGUUCAUUAGAACCAUCUAAGGUCCUUGGGACUUUAGCUAAACAACUCUAAACUUACUGGUUAUAAUGAAUCCAAAAAAAACAUAAAAGGAAGCUGCCGUCAAACAUCUUUUAGUAGUAUUGAAUUCUAGCAAAUAUUUAAAUACAAUUAUACUAUCUUAAAAAAUACUUUUUUAAAAAGGAUCCUAAAAAAGACUGAAAGUGUAUUCACAAUAUAUCUGUAUUCGAGUGUGUGUGUAUGUGUGUGUGUUCAUAUUUGAAUGAAAAGGUUGAAAGAAAAAAAAUAGAAAGUGAAUAUUGUGUAAAUGCGAAACAUCUGCUGCCAACUAAAUCACUAAUUUAAUUAAGAUUUAGACUUUUUUUUAGAUUCUUCCUUUUCCCAUCUAUUCUCAUUUGGUAAGACAAAUUUCUGAACCAUUCAAACUGCAAACCAAUGAACCAUAAAGUGAAACAAUAAUAUAUUAUCACAAUAUUUUAGAGACUAUUCCAUCUCCGCCACAAAACAAAUAACAAAAUCCAAAAAGCAGUCAGAAAAUAUGCAGCUGAGAUGUCUUAUUGGAUCGAAUACUAAUACAAGUUAAAAGCACCUAAACAGUCCUAUUUACAUGCACAAAACUUGGACCAGAUUAUCUCAGUCAAGAUCAGCAAAACCUUAAUUAUGCAAUUGGGUGUUGAUUUGAAGCAUUUAAGCAAAUCUUAAAGAGAAAUCAAUAUUUUUCAAAUAAAACAGUCGUGCAUAAAUCAAUAAUUAUACCUUCUCCGCACUAGAAGCCGUUGCUUGAAGCUGCCCAUCUCUCUCAUCUAAACUCUUACUUAAUCUAGAUAUCUCUUCUUCCAUGUUUUUCGCUUUAAUCUCCGCUCCCUGAAAAAAUAAAAUAACUUUUGUCACAAAUUACAAGGUCCCACACUCAACACUAACUUUAUAGAGAAGAGCAAAAUGUUGAAAUCAUUUCAUUUCUCAAGUACAUAUAUUAUUUAAAUCACAUCUACUAUAACAAAUUAAGCAAACAAAUUGACAUGCCUGUCUUGUUAGGGUUUCCUGAACAAAGGAUUGUUCCUUAGUAGCAAGGCGGCUUCGAACCUCCUUCAGCUCCGAUGCUAAUGACAGCACGUUCCGACGAAAACUCUGACUCUUCUCAUUCAGAUCCUUCAAUAACGGAUCUAUUUCUCUACUACUAGACAUAACCGCAACUACUCAAAGAAAUUCGGAUGCUGCAGAAAUACUCUGUAUCAAGCCCCAAAAUAAAUUGUUUUUGUGCUUCGAGUUAAAGCUAUCCACAUAUCUGCAUGUGAAAUUUGACAGCUUUCCAAUUCAUUUACUAACAAAAUUUAAAUUAAAGAAACAAUUAAGUUUUUUUUUUCCAUUUCCAGUUUAAAAUUCAAAUUCAUCCUAACAGUCAACACAUAUAUCAACCUUAGUAAGAGAGAGAAAUAUGUAAUUUUGAAAGGUCAAAUAACUUUGAAACUGAUCUACCCCACAAGUUUAUUUCUUGGAGAAAUAAUAAACAGAGCAUACACAUAUACAUAUCUAUAUACACACUCGAAAAACAUGCACAAAAACAAACGAAGGUUAAAAUCUUCGAUUCAGCUUAUAACUAGUUACAUCAUUAGCACAAACAAAAUAAAGAAUAUCAUAUAAAUGCAUAAAAACAUACAUAAUGAAGAUGCAAGUUUUAGAGAGAGAAAGAGGUUAAAAUGAGUCCAAAAAAAUCUUACUCAGAUAAAUCAAAGACUCGCCAUAGCUACAGUAAAGCUACUAAGCUUGAUUUCUGUAUCAUAAGUAUAUGAAUAUGAAGAUGAAGAAGUAGGAGAGAGAAAUCUAUGGAGAAUUAACCGGCGGCGAUUGAUCGGAACGGAAUCGACGGAAGAAGUAGGGGGAGCUAUAAUCUAGGUGUGUGCGUUUAGUAUUGAAGUAUUUCUCCUCCUCCGGUUUUGCGGUGAAAGAGCG